GACGAACUGCCCAAACGUUGUUCGGAAUCACUGGGCUUAAAGGGCGCGUAGGCGGCGGAUCAAGUCGGGGGUGAAAUCCGGCAGCUCAACUGUCGAAGUGCCUUCGAUACUGAUUCGCUCGAGGGAGGUAGGGGUGCGUGGAACUUCCGGUGGAGCGGUGAAAUGCGUUGAUAUCGGAAGGAACGCCGGUGGCGAAAGCGACGCACUGGACCUCUUCUGACGCUGAGGCGCGAAAGCCAGGGGAGCAAACGGG
rnacentral:rRNA from 1 species